GACGAAGGGGGCUAGCGUUGUUCGGAAUUACUGGGCGUAAAGCGAGUGUAGGUGGUUGUCCAAGUUGGAUGUGAAAGCCUUGAGCUCAACUCAAGAAAUGCAUUCAGGACUGGGCGGCUAGAGGACCGGAGAGGAUAGUGGAAUUCCCAGUGUAGUGGUGAAAUACGUAGAGAUUGGGAAGAACACCAGUGGCGAAGGCGGCUAUCUGGCUCGAUACUGACGCUGAGGUGCGAAAGCUAGGGUAGCAAACGGG
rnacentral:rRNA from 1 species